AUGCACCUGUACUCACUGGCUCCAAAACCAAUCUCUACCGCCCAGACUCUGGCUCCAAACCAACCUCUACCGCCCAGACUCUGGCUCCAAACCAAUCUCUACCGCCCAGACUCUGGCUCCAAACCAACAUCUACCGCCCAGACGCUGGCUCCAAACCAAUCUCUACCGCCCAGACUCUGGCUCCAAAACCAAUCUCUACCACCCAGACUCUGGCUCCAAACCAACAUCUACCGCCCAGACGCUGGCUCCAAACCAAUCUCUACCGCCCAGACUCUGGCUCCAAAACCAAUCUCUACCGCCCAGACUCUGGCUCCAAACCAAUCUCUACCGCCCAGACUCUGGCUCCAAACCAACAUCUACCGCCCAGACGCUGGCUCCAAACCAAUCUCUACCGCCCAGACUCUGGCUCCAAAACCAAUCUCUACCGCCCAGACUCUGGCUCCAAAACCAAUCUUUACCGCCCAGACUCUGGCUCCAAACCAAUCUCUACCGCCCAGACGCUGGCUCCAAACCAAUCUCUACCGCCCAGACUCUGGCUCCAAACCAACAUCUACCGCCCAGACGCUGGCUCCAAACCAAUCUCUACCGCCCAGACUCUGGCUCCAAAACCAAUCUCUACCGCCCAGACUCUGGCUCCAAACCAACCUCUACCGCCCAGACUCUGGCUCCAAACCAACAUCUACCGCCCAGACUCUGGCUCCAAACCAAUCUCUACCGCCCAGACUAUGGCUCCAAACCAACAUCAAUCGCCCAGACUCUGGCUCCAAACCAAUCUGUACCGCCCAGACUCUGGCUCCAAAACCAAUCUCUACCGCCCAGACUCUGGCUCCAAAACCAACAUCUACCGCCCAGACUCUGGCUCCAAAACCAAUCUCUACCGCCCAGACUCUGGCUCCAAAACCAACAUCUACCGCCCAGACUCUGGCUCCAAACCAAUCUCUACCACCCAGACUCUGGCUCCAAAACCAAUCUCUACCGCCCAGACUCUGGCUCCAAACCAACAUCUACUGCCCAGACUCUGGCUCCAAACCAACAUCUACCACCCAGACUCUGGCUCCAAACCAAUCUCUACCGCCCAGACUCUGGCUCCAAACCAAUCUCUACCGCCCAGACUCUGGCUCCAAACCAACAUCUACCGCCCAGACUCUGGCUGCAAACCAAUCUCUACCGCCCAGACUCUGGCUCCAAACCAACAUCUACCGCCCAGACUCUGGCUCCAAACCAAUCUCUACUGCCCAGACUCUGGCUCCAAACCAAUCUCUACCGCCCAGACUCUGGCUCCAAACCAACCUCUACCGCCCAGACUCUGGCUCCAAACCAAUCUCUACCGCCCAGACUCUGGCUCCAAACCAACAUCUACCGCCCAGACUCUGGCUCCAAACCAAUCUCUACCGCCCAGACUCUGACAACAAACCAAUCUCUACUGCCCAGACUCUGGCUCCAAACCAAUCUCUACCGCCCAGACUCUGGCUCCAAACCAACAUCUACCGCCCAGACUCUGGCUCCAAACCAAUCUCUACCGCCCAGACUCUGGCUCCAAAACCAAUCUCUACCGCCCAGACUCUGACAACAAACCAAUCUCUACCGCCCAGACUCUGGCUCCAAACCAAUCUCUACCGCCCAGACUCUGGCUCCAAACCAAUCUCUACCGCCCAGACUCUGGCUCCAAACCAACAUCUACCGCCCAGACUCUGGCUCCAAACCAAUCUCUACCGCCCAGACUCUGGCUCCAAACCAACAUCUACCGCCCAGACUCUGGCUCCAAACCAACAUCUACCGCCCAGACUCUGGCUCCAAACCAACAUCUACCACCCAGACUCUGGCUCCAAACCAAUCUCUACCGCCCAGACUCUGGCUCCAAAACCAAUCUCUACCGCCCAGACUCUGACAACAAACCAAUCUCUACCGCCCAGACUCUGGCUCCAACCAACAUCUACCACCCAGACUCUGGCUCCAAACCAAUCUCUACCGCCCAGACUCUGGCUCCAAAACCAAUCUCUACCGCCCAGACUCUGA
ensembl:lncRNA